GAAGGUGUGCUGUGAGGCAUGCUGGAGGUAUCAGAAGUGCGAAUGCUGACAUAAGUAACGAUAAAGCGGGUGAAAAGCCCGCUCGCCGGAAGACCAAGGGUUCCUGUCCAACGUUAAUCGGGGCAGGGUGAGUCGACCCCUAAGGCGAGGCCGAAAGGCGUAGUCGAUGGGAAACAGGUUAAUAUUCCUGUACUUGGUGUUACUGCGAAGGGGGGACGGAGAAGGCUAUGUUGGCCGGGCGACGGUUGUCCCGGUUUAAGCGUGUAGGCUGGUUUUCCAGGCAAAUCCGGAAAAUCAAGGCUGAGGCGUGAUGACGAGGCACUACGGUGCUGAAGCAACAAAUGCCCUGCUUCCAGGAAAAGCCUCUAAGCAUCAGGUAACAUCAAAUCGUACCCCAAACCGACACAGGUGGUCAGGUAGAGAAUACCAAGGCGCUUGAGAGAACUCGGGUGAAGGAACUAGGCAAAAUGGUGCCGUAACUUCGGGAGAAGGCACGCUGAUAUGUAGGUGAAGUCCCUCGCGGAUGGAGCUGAAAUCAGUCGAAGAUACCAGCUGGCUGCAACUGUUUAUUAAAAACACAGCACUGUGCAAACACGAAAGUGGACGUAUACGGUGUGACGCCUGCCCGGUGCCGGAAGGUUAAUUGAUGGGGUUAGCCGCAAGGCGAAGCUCUUGAUCGAAGCCCCGGUAAACGGCGGCCGUAACUAUAACGGUCCUAAGGUAGCGAAAUUCCUUGUCGGGUAAGUUCCGACCUGCACGAAUGGCGUAAUGAUGGCCAGGCUGUCUCCACCCGAGACUCAGUGAAAUUGAACUCGCUGUGAAGAUGCAGUGUACCCGCGGCAAGACGGAAAGACCCCGUGAACCUUUACUAUAGCUUGACACUGAACAUUGAGCCUUGAUGUGUAGGAUAGGUGGGAGGCUUUGAAGUGUGGACGCCAGUCUGCAUGGAGCCGACCUUGAAAUACCACCCUUUAAUGUUUGAUGUUCUAACGUUGACCCGUAAUCCGGGUUGCGGACAGUGUCUGGUGGGUAGUUUGACUGGGGCGGUCUCCUCCUAAAGAGUAACGGAGGAGCACGAAGGUUGGCUAAUCCUGGUCGGACAUCAGGAGGUUAGUGCAAUGGCAUAAGCCAGCUUGACUGCGAGCGUGACGGCGCGAGCAGGUGCGAAAGCAGGUCAUAGUGAUCCGGUGGUUCUGAAUGGAAGGGCCAUCGCUCAACGGAUAAAAGGUACUCCGGGGAUAACAGGCUGAUACCGCCCAAGAGUUCAUAUCGACGGCGGUGUUUGGCACCUCGAUGUCGGCUCAUCACAUCCUGGGGCUGAAGUAGGUCCCAAGGGUAUGGCUGUUCGCCAUUUAAAGUGGUACGCGAGCUGGGUUUAGAACGUCGUGAGACAGUUCGGUCCCUAUCUGCCGUGGGCGCUGGAGAACUGAGGGGGGCUGCUCCUAGUACGAGAGGACCGGAGUGGACGCAUCACUGGUGUUCGGGUUGUCAUGCCAAUGGCACUGCCCGGUAGCUAAAUGCGGAAGAGAUAAGUGCUGAAAGCAUCUAAGCACGAAACUUGCCCCGAGAUGAGUUCUCCCUGA
rnacentral:rRNA from 1 species